rnacentral:lncRNA from 1 species
UCAGAAUCAGCCUAAAAGCUUGAAACAGCUGUUUAAAGCUGGGUGUUCACUUACCCAACAUUUCAGAUAAGAAGUGUAAGAGGCAAGUUAUAUGGGUUUAAUGAAUUGACGCUAAAGUUAUCCCAAAAUAUACCACAAGUCUAAACUUAUAUUUUGCCUGCAAGUCAAAACAUACAUGAACGAUGCAGUUCUAGGAAAGCAUGGAGAUACUCAAUUACCGAGCAAAGACGGCAUACAAAAUAUUGGGCAUUGAGAAGAAAGAUUGCAGUAUGCUUCAUUUCAAAUUGAGAAGAGUAAGCUCUGGAGCAAGCAACUGAAUUAAAUACUUCAUUAUUUCUACAGAACACCUUCUCCAAAUCGAGAGAGAGAGAGAGAGAGAGAGAGAGAGAGAGAGAGAGAGAGAGAGCAUCAAAAAAAUUAUUCGAAAUGAUACAAGCAUGCAUCACUAACCCCACUUCCAGGGACCACCCUAACAUAGAAUAUGAUUUGGACAGCCGAGCCACGUCUAGCAUUUUACACGCCUUUUUCCACCUUCAAAAGGGCCUAGUAGAGAAGCUCAAAUACCCGC